rnacentral:misc_RNA from 1 species
AGAUGGAUCAUUAACACAAUUAACAAACCUUAACUUAUGUACUUUCAAAGAGAACUUCGGUUUUCUUUGAGGUUUUAUUGUCACACCUGGUGUGAAUAAAAAUUUUUCAUAUGCCUAAGAUCUGGAUAACAUCCAAAAAACGAAAAGAAAAUUUUCAACGGUGGAUAUCUAGGUUCCCGUGACGAUGAAGAACGCAGCGAAAUGCGAUACGCAAUGCGAAUUGCAGAACCGCGAGUCAUCAGAUCUUUGAACGCAAGUGGUGGAGGUGUAAAAACCUUCAUGUUUGUUUCAGUGUGGAAAGGAAUCACGCAUCUUAAUGCGAUUGAAGCAAUGCAAGAAGCUUCUCUCGUUAAACGUGAUGGGUGGUCGAGCAAUCGCCGCCAGAACGAAGUAGUCACAUUCGUGUAAUGUGAACAUUCGUCCAGGCAUAAAGGCGAAUGCUCACUAUGCUACUCAUAGAAAUUUAUUUUUUCUCACAACACCUGAAACAGGCAAGAUU